rnacentral:rRNA from 1 species
GACGAACGCUGGCGGCGUGCCUAAUACAUGCAAGUAGAACGCAGUUGCGAACGGGUGAGUAACGCGUAGGUAACUGCCUCAUUGCGGGGGAUAACUCUUGGAAACGAUAGCUAAUACCGCAUACUUUGAGCUGGACCUGCGUUGUAUUAGCUAGUUGGUGAGGUACAGGCUCACCAAGGCCACGAUACAUAGCCGACCUGGGAGGGUGAUGGGCCACACUGGGAACGUGGCACGUGCCAGACUGCUACGGGAGGCAGCAGUAGGGGAAGUUCGGGAAAUGGCGGAAGGCUGGCCGAGCAACUGCGCGUGAGUGGAGAAGGUUUUCGGAUCGUAAAGCUCUGUUAUUUGAGAAGCGGUAGCUGACCAAGAAGCGACGGCUAACUACGUGCCAGCAGCCGCGGUAAUUC